GUGCGUCAAUUUGUGACGCAGUGCAGCAUUUCUCAUCGAAACUUCAUCCGUUAUACACGUGUCUGCAACAGGGUGCAAUGUGCGGAGUGUGGUGGCGUGCAACAGUCGUCUCGAAGCUUCGUCCGUUUGGCACGUGUCUGCAACAGGUACCGGCCGAUAGCAAAAAAUACCGAACAUUGCCGAGUGUUGCCGAAGUGCCGACCGGUCUACGAUGGGAAGGAAGGUCUCGUCAUUGCUCUCUCGAGCGUCGAACUGAGAAGACGUGUUUGGGUCGUGCUCCCGCAUAAGCAAUACAAAAAUAUUUAUUUGAUUUCAAAAAGGCGCCAUGGGAUACGACGCCAUUGAUAUUGGUUCGAAAUGUAAUUUUGUAAAGGGUAUAUAAUAUAAUUGGUAACGUUUUAAUUUAUUAUAAUCAAUUAUUAAUGCUUUUUUUGAAUCGUUGUUAAGUGUAAGCAUGUUUGAUAAUUAAUUGGUAUC